ACCCAAUGCUACUCUGGUUAAAGAAGUAAAUCUAAUUAAAAGAGCAUGGGGAAUGGAAGCUGCUUUGUGAGUUAGAGAGACUGGCUCUGUGCAUCUGUCACCAUCGACUGGGCUACAAGAUGGAAAAUUCCAUAGACUGCCAGGCAAAGUGCUCUCAAUGUUGUUGGAACAUCUGCUUUUCGUGGUGUAAAAUCUCUUCCAUGGGGCAGAGUGGACAGUGAGAGAGAGAGACAGAGAGAAACGUCUUCCUUUGCCGUUGGUUCACCUUCCAAUGGCCACCGCAGCCGGCACGCUGCGCCCGGCGCACCACGCUGAUCCAAUGGGAGGAGCCAGUUCACAUUAAGGAGAGAGUGUCCAGCUGACCUAGCUUAAGGAAUGCAUCUGCCCAUCCCCUAAGGGAAGUCAAGCUACCUGCUCAACAUGGGCUCCUCAGACUCCAGCUAAAAGUCCAGAAAAAGAACCAGAAUGAAGUCCUCAGAGCUUGUCUAGGUGACGCUCACAGCUUGGGCUUGGGUUUCCAACACGGGUCAGCUGCUUCGAACUCACUUCAAAUCCUCAGCUUCCUGACCCAGAGCUGUUCUACAUGACUAAUAUCUGCCCAGGGGACCAAAAGCCAGAGUGGAGCCACGUUGAGUCACUUUCCUGAUCAGUCCUUAAGGUUCACAUCAUCUGGGCCUCGUUGAGUAUUCUUUUUCAAUAUUGGCAGACGUAACUGAUCUGGCAUUAGAAAAAUUGGUUUUACAUGUGUUGUGAGCAAGCAAUGGUUUUCUGAUUAAACAGAAUUAUCUUGCAUGUAUAAAUGAGGGACAUAAUUACACUCAAAACUGAAACCAAUUGUCAAGAUGUCUGUGUUUGGCUUGGAAUGGCUGUAGCGUAAAUCCAGCCAUGGAACUCUCGGAGCAGUAAUGAGACUAUCAAACAGGCCAUGCACUGUGUCGUCACUUCAUCGGCAUUUGUGUUUGUUAUGACUUGACUCAGAGUCUCAGGAACUUGUUCCUUCUUUACCUAUUCGAUCAAUUUAUUCUUCUAGGAGCCUACAAUAUAAAUCUUUUCUUAACUAAAAUAGGUUUUGGACUUCAGUUCACAUCAUUCAUCCUUGAUUUGUGUCGAGGUCACCACCUAUGAGCAUACGUGAGUCAGGUGAAAUGAAUUCAUUUAGCCAUUCAUUUGCUUUUCAUCAAACGUAUUGAUAUCAUGUUGAUAAUUUCUAGGAACAUGAAGAAAAGCUGUUCUAAAAACUCAGUUCUCAAAUUUCUCAUGACAUGAGAGAGGAAAUAAUGUCUAUACCCAACAGUGAAAUAUACUUUGUAGAAGUCAUAUUUAUGCAUUAUAUGUGUGCGUGAUUGUUUUUGUCUUUUCAGGGAACACUAUGAAUAAAGCUAUUAUUAUCACCCAUCACCUGCUGAAAGAACACUUCUGGGCGUGUCUUCAGGAUAAUGCAGCUUCAUUAUUAUAUAUAAUUAGUAAAGAUAAUGUCCUUACUACACUAUCUUACUCAGAUUAUCCACUCCCAUAAUACUUUUCACAUCACAGUUCACAAAACAAUGCACAACAGAAGUUCCUCAUUUAGGGUCGUAAAAAGUGCAAAAGUUCAAACUAUGCAGAGCAUUCAUUAUUAGCAAAUGUGUAUAUUGGGCUCCUAUCUUGUGUCAUGCAAAUAGGAAUGAGCAGUUCUUCCCUUGCACAUCUAGAGAAUGCAGGCAUGAGGGGAGAGAGGUAUUAUACAAACAACUACAUAAUAAUUAAAUAUUGAGCAAGAUGAACAAUGGAAGUGUAUAACUAAGGAUAGGGGAAAAGGGACAGCCUCCCAAGGAAUACCAUGGUGAAUAGUCUGAAAGGUGAGUGUGAUGUUGUCAAGGAAUGCCUAUGUGAAGAAAGUGCCUGGCAGGGAACAACACGUGCGAAAGUCCCAGAGCAGCCACUACAGCUUUCUUUAUCAGGAACCAGAGGAGGCUGGUGUGUUGAGGUUAGAAUGCCAGUGUGGAAAUGGUGUACCCUGGGCUUGGGAGAGUAGGCAAGAAGCAGGUCAUGGAAGGCCCUGCAGGCCCAGUGAGUAGGUAAGGUUCAGCACGGCUAUGCUGCAGUAAUAAACAGUAAUAAACAGCCCCCACACCUCAGGGACAUGGGGAAGCCACGUGCUCUAGCUUACAUACUGGACACACUGAAAUGGGGUUAUGAUGGUGCAUAGAAGACUUUGGCCCUUCAUAAAUAUUCAUGGGAGCUGGGAUGUGGAGAGAAACACACGGGAGGACCUCAUGCUUCGAGUUGCCAUGACUUAUCACUUCAUUGUGAUUCCAUCGAUGAAGAUCAGUUCAUAGGGGGCAUCUACCAGGAUGCCAACACAUUUUGAAUUAUAUCUUAAUUCUGUGCCCAACAGAGACAAAUGAGGUGGUGGGGCUCUAUCCAGUCUCUACGAAGCCUUGGUUGGAUAUGAAAAGACUUUAUAUUUUGUCCUACUCUUAGCUGAGCAGGGAGGGCAGUGAUUUUGCUAUGUUCUCAAUUUUCGUGUCCUCCCCAAAUUCCUAUGUUGAAAUCCUAGCACAGAAAAUAAAGGUUUUAGCAGGUGAGGCCUUGGGGGAGCUGAUUAGAUCCUGAGAGUAGAAAUCUUGCGAGUGUGGUUCGUGUUUCUACAAAGGAGUCUCCAGGAGCUCAGUUCUGCUUCUGCGUUGUGACAACAAGUCAAUAAGGGUCUGGUAUGAGCCGAUAAGUAAGUGCUCACCAGAAAUGCACCUGCUGGUCUUGGGUUCCUGGCUUCCAGUCUCCAGAACUGUAAAGAAUCAAUGUAUGACUUUCAGAAGCCACACAUUCUACAAUAUUUGGUGAUAGCAGUGUGAAUGGACCGAGAAAAUCCAAUUCCAAUUUUCAUGUAAUUGCUCUACCAUUAGGGUGAACAGCGGAAUUGACUGGCAUCAACCAACCUCUAAAGAAAAAUCAUCUAGACCAAUUUUACUUAUUUUUCCUUUCAGGAAACAACUAAGUCUUAUGUCUCCAUCUUCCAUUUCUGAGAAACUAAAACUUGAAAAUGACUUUGUUAUAAAAUCCCACAGGAGGAUAAAAUAAUUCUUGUUGAAAUUGAGUCCACAAUUUGAAAACAAUAACAAAAUAGAUAAACAAAACUCUCCUAGUGGGACAGGCAUUUUCUGCUCUGAUAGUUGGGAUGCCUAAAUCCUGUACUUGAGCCUGGGGUUGAGUUCUGGCUCCACUCCUAAUUCCAGUUUCCUGCUAAUGUGCUUCCUCGGAGGCAGCAGGUGACGGCUCAAGUACUUGGGUCCCUGCCACUAUCUGGGAAUUCUGGGUGAAAUUUUUGGCUCCUGACACCAGUCUAGCCCAGGGCUAGCUGUGGCAGUCAUCCGAGGAAUGAACCAGUGGAUGGGAAAUCUUUCUCCUCCCUCUCUCUCUCCCUGCUCCCUUAAUCUCUCUCAUUCUCUGCAUUUCAAACAGAAUGAAAAAUUUAAAUGCUUAUUUAUUUAUUUGAAAUGCCAGAGCUCAGCUCAGAGAGAUAGAGAGAAAUAUCUUUCAUCUGCUGGUUUAUUGCUGAAAUGGCCACAAUGAUUGGAGUCAGUCCAGGCUGAUGGUAGGAAUGAGGAGCUCCAUCCAGGUCUCCUACAUGGAUGGCAGGGGACCAAGCCCUUGGUACAUCUUCUAUUGCUUUCCCACACACAUUAGCAGUGAUCAGGACCAGAAACGGGGAAGCUGGGACUCAAACUGGCACUCCAAUGUGGGAUGCUGCAAACAGUGGACUAACCCUCUGCACCAUGAUGGCAGCCCCACCUAAAACUCCACUUAGGUUAGGAAACACAACAAACAAGGUUUGGGGCCCCAGUAAAUAAACAAUGGUGCUUAAAAUUUUAAACAUAGUUAACAUAGUUUCAAAACAUAUAAGUAAGGAAUAAAAUGGCAGACCAACCAAACACCGCUAGUAUGCAAAAUGUAGGCAGAAAGUACAAAGCAAAAUUACAAUUGUAAAAUUUAAUCCCUAGAAUAAAAAAUAGCAUUCAAUGGAGUUAAUAACAAGUUGACAUGAGCAAAAUGUGCAUUAUUGACUUUAUUGGAUUAUGCAUGUCUAAAAUCCAGGGUGAAAAAAGAGAUGGAGAGUGUGAGGACCUGAGGAAGUACAGUGACAGCGACAGGAGUAGGGGCAGUGUUAGGGAAAAAACAACGCUUUGGCAUCUCACAAAGGAGUGCUACUGGCGAGCAUGAGAAUGAAACGCAAUAAAUCAGAAUGAGUGCUACACCGGACGUGUAGUAAAACUUCAGAACACUAAAGAAAGGAAAAUCUUGAACACAACCAUGGAGAAUAGGCAAACCACCUGCAAAUGCAUACUCACCUGUUACAUUGAUCUUCAACUUCUCACAACAGAGGACGAUAAAAUUUUCUUAUUCCUCUUUCUGCUUGUAUUUCUUCAAGUAGCUACAGAACCCACAAUUCUCAUGGCAUCUGCAGCAAGAAAGUGAAAAACAGCAAAAUCUCCAGAAAAUGUGCUAUUGAAGUGUAGAAAUGAAUGGGUAUGCACUCACAGGCCCUAAGGUGUGUUAUUUUUAUUAACAUUUGUAUUGUCAUCUAACAUUGUCAAUGUUUAUUUUCAGGUUUUAUGCACUAUGGUUUCCGGCACAGCAUACACCUAUGAUUAUGUUAAGGUGUGUGUGUUUGUGUGUGUUUGUGUGUGUAUUCUUUUCAUAUCUGAGAGCUAAUGUUUUGUAUUAAUGGCAACGCUAUAGAAAGGCAUUAGAUCUGAUAUUCAUUAAAUAUUCAUCACCAUAACAUCUCCCAGCCAUUGUUCCCCCUUUUGUAAGCUUCUUUCAAUGCCUCCAUUUAAAAAAAAAAAAAAGUGUACCUUUUUUUUUUUUGAAAGGCAGAGUGACACAGAGAGGCAGAGAUAGGGAGAGAAAGAGAGAGAGAGAGAUCUUCCAUCUGUUGGGUCACCCCCUAAAUGUCCCACCACACCUUGCCCCUGUGUUAGCAAUGACGUCCUCUUCUGAGUGCGAGUUCUGGAUUGUUUGUGUCCAAUCUGGAAUGAAUUAGCUGAUGUGUGGCUGGGACAAUUUCAGUGCAAUCCCUUUUGAUUGUCUCCAUGGGCCUGGUAAGACAUGACAACACCAAGUCACUUGUAAAAUCCUAUGGCCUAGAAGAGGGGAUUAGCAGACAGGAAGAGGUGGCCAAGGAAAAUUAGAAACACAUUUUAAACUUCUUUCAUUGUACUUCUCUUCUCCAAGGCUGAGACGGUGAAUCACAGGUUAUUUAAUUUCCACUGCCAAGCAGGAGGGUGAAUAGUGUGAAUCAGUAGUGUUGAGACGAGUAACACACAAGGAGACAAAUGUCUCAGGUGACAGAGUCAGUGUCCAACUUUCAAAACAUUCUGUAAUUGCCUCAAAUAUCGGAUGCCUGAAACAGUGUCCCUUUUGGUGGCCUUUCUGCAUACAAAUUGUUGAUCUUUACAUGCAGUCACUGUCAUCCCAUCCUAGAAAACUGUUUUAGUAACUUUACCCAAUGUGGUUCUGGAUAGACUAGAAGAACACCAGAUCUUUAGAACAUGUAACACUUCGAAUGUAACACUAACUCUAAAUGGUGAGUUCAUCCAGUGGACAGGACCGUGCUCACAUAGCUGGGUCACGUCAGCCAACAGGGCUGAGGGCAGUCAGCAUGUGUCAUGCUGUACUCCGAGAGGGAUACACACUGGAACAAAAAUGCUCCUAAGGAAACAUUUGAUUUUUUUUUUUUUUGAAAGGGAGAUGUAGGUGUUUGUGGAGACAGAUACCUCUGCUGUUGAUGCAAACUCCAUUUCUCCUUUCCUUCUUUCUGAAUGAUUUUCCAUUUUGUUGGGGGCACAGCAUCAUCAGAUGAAAACUACAUGACUCAGGUGUUGGCCGGCAGUUAAGAUGCCAGUGAAGACAUCCACAUCCAAAGUCAGAGUGUCCAGGUUCCACUGCCAGGUCUGGCUCUGGAUUCCAGCUUCCUGCUAAAGCAGGCUCUGGGAGGCAGCAGUAAGGAUCCGGGAACUGGGCUCCUGCUCCUGUGUGAGGAGACCUGGAUAGAGUUCUGAGUCUCUGGUUUUAUCCUCGUUCAAUUCUGGCUGUUGUGGGCACUUGGAGCAGUGAGUCAGCAAAUGUGAGCUUUGUCUUUCUCUGUUUCUGUCUCCACCUGUCUCUCUGUCCCUCUUCCUUCC